rnacentral:rRNA from 1 species
GAUGAACGCUGGCGGCGUGCCUAAUACAUGCAAGUCGAGCGAACAGACGAGGAGCUUGCUCUUCUGACGUUAGCGGCGGACGGGUGAGUAACACGUGGGUAACCUACCUAUAAGACUGGGAUAACUUCGGGAAACCGGAGCUAAUACCGGAUAAUAUUUUGAACCGCAUGGUUCAAUAGUGAAAGACGGUCUUGCUGUCACUUAUAGAUGGAUCCGCGCUGCAUUAGCUAGUUGGUAAGGUAACGGCUUACCAAGGCAACGAUGCGUAGCCGACCUGAGAGGGUGAUCGGCCACACUGGAACUGAGACACGGUCCAGACUCCUACGGGAGGCAGCAGUAGGGAAUCUUCCGCAAUGGGCGAAAGCCUGACGGAGCAACGCCGCGUGAGUGAUGAAGGUCUUCGGAUCGUAAAACUCUGUUAUUAGGGAAGAACAAAUGUGUAAGUAACUAUGCACGUCUUGACGGUACCUAAUCAGAAAGCCACGGCUAACUACGUG